UGAAUGUAAGGUGACUGACAGGAACAGUGAGGGUCCAGAAUGGGAUGUGAGAAAGUGGAAGAGAGAGAUAGACAGUGCAGUGAAAGGUGACGGUCUGAGGAGGUGGAAGCAUGCGAUGGAGCGAAAGAGUACUUUGGAGUGGUACAGGGAAAAGGAUGCCCCGCAGUGUGUCAGCUGGUAUGAUGGAAGCCUGGGUGGUGAUCUUCUCCUCCAAGCUCGAGCGCAGUAUAUGAAUGUGAAAGCAAGAAACUACAGGUGGUCUGAGUCCCGCAGCAAAGUGUGUCAGAUGUGUGACAGGGGUGUGGAGGAAACUGUCGUGCAUGUGAUACUGGUGUGCGGGAGGUACCGGAGAGAAAGGACGGAGAUGAUGAGGGUGGCACUGAUGGGCUGGGAUGUGAAUGGGAGGAUUGCAAGAACGGAGAGGGAAUGGAUGCUGCUGCUGCUGGGACUGAGUGCUGAAGCAAAUGAGAGAAUUAUAGCAGCCAUGAAGAUUUUUCUGGAAAAGAUGUGGUGUGUAAGAAAUAGGGAAUUGGAAGAUUUGUAAUGGAUACUGCUUGUUUUGUUUUAUUUUUACAGGGUGUGCCGAUAUGAAGGCCUGACUCCCAGCGGGUCACCUGUACAGCUAAUGGUUAAUUAAUGAUGAGAGCAAGAACCAACACGCUAAGUUUAAACUGGAGAAAUGGCUACCAAGGAGAGAGUGAGAGAUGUCCAUAUGAUGACUGACAAGGAAACAUUAGAACAUUUUCUUUUAGAAUGUACAGGUUAUGAAGAUAUAAGAAACAAAUUUAACUUACAGGUAACUUCUCACAACACAGACAAAAUAAUAGCAGAAACACUACUAUUUGGUGAACAAUGAAUCAAAAAUAUACAAGAAAGAAAAGAAUAUAUUAAAACUAUCUGGAAAACAAGACACAGAAAAACACAGGAACUGCAGCACAACUAAAGAAACAGCCUAGUGGGAGCCAUGCCGAGGCUUAUCCCACGCCUACUACUGAACUGAACUGAACUGUACAGCAAGAGCAAGAGCAAGAGCCACAUUUUGACGAUAACAAACCUAAUACUUCCUUAUUUAAACCCUCGGAGACACUUAUAUAAGUAGAAUAUAUGCAGGCGUGGGAGGCGGAGGCGCUGGCGUGGGGGCGGCGAUCCCUUGAAAUAAGGUAAAAUGUCUUCCAUUCUUCCUGUGUCCUGUUCGAGCUCGUUAUUGGAUGAGUGACAUGUUGUAGUAAGAGGCUGUGGCCCCACAGCCUAACUAGCCCCAUAAAACCACCCAAGAAGAAGUGACAUGUUGUGAGACAAAGUGAGAUAGCUCUAAAGUGAGGGGGAGAGGCAGUCACCUCAGCCCCAGUGUGAGGGCCGCACAGGCUGCCCCGUCCCCCUGAGGAAGGCGCAGGUGGGGCGGGCAUACUGGAUCUGGAUACAUGAUGCGCAGGGCAGCCGUACAGGCAGCACUCACUCCCUGAAGAAGGUGCCGGAGAGGGGGGUCGGCUGCCGAGAUGGUCAGGCUCACCGGCAGGGUUGUGGACGCCAUGUCUGAGAAGCAGCCGCAGCCCGGGGUUAGACGUGGAGAAGGUUCAGUCCACCGUCCGCCAGGCUGUGCGUGACUGGUCUCCAUCAGGCACAUUGGAGCGGCCCCGUCACUAGCAAGAGUGACCUCCUCUUCCCCAGGACACUGUGGAGGUACUGUCUGGGUCUCCAUGGUGGCCGGCGUCAUGGUGUGGAGCCUAACACUCUGGGCCUUGCUCAGGAUCGUACAAACUGGCGUGGAGUAGCACCCGAUGAAGCACUCGGGCACUUUUCUACGGGUGGGGCCUGCUGCUCGAGGACACGCCCUAUGACCCGCCCGAGGGAACACACGGCCUGGACAGCGGGGGCCGGGGAAGCAUGGUCCAGUAACACACUCAGUUAAAUUUACGAAAUAUUUUAUGAAAACAAAACGCAAAGUUUAAUAAUGGCACCAAAUUUAUCAUUAACCAACAGCUAGACUGAUGAGUCAACAGUAAACAUUCAAAACUCUCAGUAACUUACGUAAGUCAGACAGCAACUUUAUAUCAAGCAAACUUAACAACUUUUUUUAUAUGCUGCCAAUAGCGCCUGCAAGCUUUCUUGAGAGGCCUCUUGGUCGACCCCAGCCCGUUAGCGGCGCAGGCGAAUUUUUUUUUUAUAGUAGCUGCCGUGAUGUAUGACUCUUGCUUGGUCCAUGCUGCCCCCCGGUGCUCCUCUUGGACGAAAUCACUGAAGUUAGGGUUGAUUGAAGGCCUGGGCAGCAUGUGGGUAAUCAUCAUCCACUCGGCGAUGGCUUGAAAUAUCAGCGCGUUUAGGUGGGACUCGAUCCUAGGUCCACGGGCUCACCACGUACUAGGGUAUUAAUCCAAGGUUGAAUUUCCUGUCACAAACGCAUAAAAAAAAUCAUGCUGUAGAAAUACUUAGUGACUCCUUAAAGUAAACGUUUUCACGGUACUUUUUGUAUUGAUUUCCACACGCUUGUCGUUCCUCGUCUGCCCCGCCAUCCCGAGGGCCAAUGAGGGGCCUCCGUCAAUGCUUCACCUUCCGGCUUCCAGCCAAUCACAAGGUAGUACGCCGUGACGUCAGAACCGAGCCUCCGGUGAGCUUCAUCUGCUGCUGUUUAUAUGGCCAAGGGUGUGCCGUGGGUGUGGGUGUUGGUCGUACGAAGGGUUUUCUGCGCACGAGGAGGCCGAUUCAGGGACGAGAGGUGAGCAACAGGACGUUCUUGGUGACGAGUUGAUUGCAGGCGGCUGUUUUGUGUGUUAUGGCAAGGACGAGAGGUGAGCAAUAUAACAUUCGCGGUGACGUGAGCUGGUGGAGAGUGACUGUUGAUGCGUUAUAAGGAAGCAACGUUCGAAGAAAUAUAUUAUGCACACGAGGAGGCCGCUACGGUGACGAGAGGUGAGGAACAUUCGAGUUGGUGGCGGUUGCUUGCUUUGUGUUAUGAGGCAAGGACGAGAGCUGAGCAGUAAUGUUUUGUGAGGCAGGGAAGAGAUGAGCAACAUGUUCUUAAUAACAAGUUGCUGUCGAUUGGCUGUUGGUAUGUUAUGAGGCAAGGACGAUAGGUGGGCAACAAGCUCUUAGCCCGUAUUGUUAAGCGUAUCAGCACCGCAGUUCGCCUGUUUGAAAAGCCUCUCCUAGAAGGGAUGUUCGUUGGCUGUUUUGUGACGCUGGUGAUAGUUUUACACAACUUCUGCACCUUGAACGGGAAAAAUCACCCUGAAAACCUCGUUAGUCUUCUCCGUGGCCUUGGGAAUGGUCGUAAUGGGAGCCCGAUACCUUAGUUUUACCCGACUUCAUCUCGAACGGGAAAAAGUCACCCUGAAAACCUCGUUAAUCUUCUCCGUGGCCUUGGGAAUGGUCGUAAUGGGAGCCCGAUACCUUAGUUUUACCCGACUACUUCAUCUUGAACGGGAAAAAUCACCCUGAAAACCUCGUUAAUCUCCGUGGCCUUGGGAAUGGUCGUAAUGGGAGCCCGAUACCUUAGUUUUACCCGACUACUUCAUCUUGAACGGGAAAAAUCACCCUGAAAACCUCGUUAAUCUUCUCCGUGGCCUUGGGAAUGGUCGUAAUGGGAGCCCGAUACCUUAGUUUUACCCGACUUCUUCAUCUUGAACGGGAAAAAUCACCCUGAAAACCUCGUUAGUCUUCUCCGUGGCCUUGGGAAUGGUCGUAAUGGGAGCCCGGCAAACAUGUUCUUAUUGUUCAGCGUCUCGGCACCGCAGUUCGCCUGUUUGAAUAGCCUCUCGUAGAAGUCGCUGGGAUAUUCAUGGACUGUUUUGUAAUGUGAUAGUUUUACACGACUUCUGCAUCUUGAACGGGAAAAAUCACCCCUGAAAACUUGGUUAAUCUUUUUCGUGGCAGGGGGCUUCGUGGUGCAGUGGUAAGCACACUCGGCUCACAACCGAGAGAGCCUGGGUUCGAUUCCCGGGCGGAGUGGAAUAAUUUGGGCGGCUUUUCAGAUACCCUACGCCCCUGUCCACCCAGCAGUGAAUGGGUACCAAGUAUAAAUCAGGGGUUGUGUCCCGUCUCCUGGGGUCCGUUCCCUUCUCCUAUAAUCCCUUCCCCUUCUAUCUCUCUCCGGCAUAUGGCCACAUGUUGCGCCGACUAAACAAAACUUUCCAACUGUUCCCUUCUCCUAUAAUUCCUUCCCCUUCUGUCUCUCUCCGGCAUAUGACCACAGAUGUUGCGCCGACUAAACGAAACUUUCCAACUUUCUCCGUGGCCUUGGGAAUGGUCGUAAUGGGCGCCCGAUACUUUUAAUAAUAUAUGGACUUCAGUGACGAGUUGAUGGUGGAUGGCUGUUGAGUGUGUUAUGCCGGCAAACUGAUGCUUUCAGACAUUGAUUAUUGAUUGAUUGUGAUUAUUAUUGAAUAUCUUUUUUGCUUGUUUUCAGUUUUACUUUCCUCUGUUGCCGUUGUCUAUUUACGAUGUGUUUGUUUUCAUUUGACACGGCAAUAAAAAGAAAGAUUAAGGAAGUAAGUAGAAGGGAAAAGGGAAGUAGGGAAAGAAAAAGAAAAAAAAGACCCUGACUCUAACGUCAAAUAAUUGUUCUCUCUCUCUCUCUCUCUCUCUCUCUCUCU